GGGCCCGCACAAGCGGUGGAGUAUGUGGUUUAAUUCGAUGCAACGCGAAGAACCUUACCAGGGUUUGACAUCCUGCGAAUCUCUUGGAAACGAGAGAGUGCCUUCGGGAGCGCAGUGACAGGUGGUGCAUGGCUGUCGUCAGCUCGUGUCGUGAGAUGUUGGGUUAAGUCCCGCAACGAGCGCAACCCACGUCUUUAGUUGCCAGCAUUUAGUUGGGCACUCUAGAGAGACCGCCGGUGAUAAACCGGAGGAAGGUGUGGAUGACGUCAAGUCCUCAUGGCCCUUACGGGUUGGGCUACACACGUGCUACAAUGGUGGUGACAAUGGGUUAAUCCCAAAAAGCCAUCUCA
rnacentral:rRNA from 1 species